GUUGACCAGGCUGAGGGCUGACACAGAGCACCUCGGAAGUGAGAAGGCAGGCUUCCCAGUACCAGAGAGGAAUGGACGUGGCGUGCAGAAGCGGGAGGGAAUAAAAGCCACCUGGGUAGGGAAGUCCUCUGACCAACAGCCCAUCCUUUUGCAGUGCCCUGUUCCAGGGUCAUGUGGCCACCGCUGCUGCUGCUGUUUCUGCUGCUUCCUGCUGCCCAUGGCGCCCCCCACCCGGCUGCGGACCUCCAGGAAAACUUUCCAAGCGUACUCGAAGAAAUCCAAACUGAAGGAGACAGAGGCAUGUGGAGAGAAGACAACCCGUUCGCUGGCUCCCGCUGUCCUCCUGGCUCAUGAGGUGGCUUCUAUGUGGUCCAGAAGCUGGGGGCGAGGACCUGUAGCCUCAUGAAGGCCUGCCAGGCACAGGAUCCGGAGCUCCACACUCCUCCCAAAAUCCCUGGUCUCCUCCGGGGGCCCUUCAGCUGCUGAAGGGGCUGGGGUGGACACCAUUAUCCUAGCAGGGGACAUAUGUGGAACUCACCAGACCCACCUGCAGCACCAUUUCAAAAUAAAAGUAAAAUUUCAAGCUUA
ensembl:lincRNA Rbakdn RB-associated KRAB zinc finger downstream neighbor (non-protein coding)